CUCACCAAGGACAGUGAGUACGCGAGCGAACGGAUCGCCCAUCUGGAGGAGACGGAACAUGGUCUCAAGGCGCGCAUUAGCCGGCUGUCCAAGGAGAACAAGGAACUGUCGGCGAAGCACGGUGGUCUGCUGGAGGAGUACGGUGCGCUCAAAGAAGACUAUGCCCAGCUGCAGAACUAUCUGCGUGGUCCGGCCGCUGAAGCGCUCGAGCGAGAGAAGAAGCGUGUGCUGGCACUGGAGGAUGAGCUGGCCCAUACGAUGCGGACGCUGCGCGAUGGCGAAGAGUCACAUCGGGCUGAGGUCGGUACACUGCGUGGGCGGUUGCUGGCGGCCACCAAGGAGCUGAACCACAUCGAGGUAACCAACAGUGAGCUGCGCGAAGAGGUGGAAACGCUGGAAGCGCGCAUCCGGGAGCUGAUGACGCUCCGGACGCGGGAUGACGAAAAGAUCAAGCAUCUGUCCGAGGAGCUCGAGUCGAAGCAAUCGCAACUGCUGGCGAUACAGCAUGGUUCGCGGCAUGGACCGGGGCCUGCGCGAUCGGCCGCUGGCCGUAGCUUGGCGCAGGAGCUGGAACGUCCGCUGAAGGGUGGGUCGUACGCGCGGCACAACUACGAUCAGCAGCAAUCGCUCACCGCUCGCCGGUUCCCCGAUAGCGAUGGCAGUGGCAGUGAGGAGAAGAGCAAAUUCCCCACCACCAGACCGCUGUCGAUGGCGUUUGAAACCAAAGAAGUGAAGAGUCUCGCGGAAACGAUCAUCCUGAAUGCGGAAAGUAGCAGGGCAGGUGCGAAGACGCCAAAGAAAUCAUUCGUCGAAGAGGCGCGUAGCCGAUUCGCUCGCUGGGUGUGAGGCGCACGUUUGGUUGCAACAUGGUAAGGAGCUACCCAAACGGCUCGGUCCAUCGAACGGAAGCGAAAUCUUCGGAAUCCCAUCAACAUCCUACCCCCGGCCUAUUCCCACAAAAAUCGCCUGCUUGAAACCGGCAAGAGCAAGAGAGGAAAACAAUGAAGAAAAAGCGGUCGCAACAACAUCUACUAAACAUGCACAAAGCACACACACAGAUGACGGGGUAUUCCCCUAUGCACACCCUCUACGACACCACGCGUAAUCUGCCAAAUCCCGAAUACUAGAGCCGCCCUAGAUUUGUCCUCACCCCGGUGUUCCCGACCCUCUUCUGGCCCUUUCUCUUACCCUUUCCCUGAUGUGGCCUGUGCUAGAGUAGGCGUGCGGCUUCCAACGUGAUCAGCAACUGAUAGACAGCGUGGAAAGCAGUUGUAAGUAGGUUACGGAACCACAGCUUACAGAUGCAGAUGGACAACGGUUCCACCUGUUCAGGACAAUCUUAUGUGCACCACCCCCGGACGGACGGAUGGACUCUUCUUGCUCUCGGUUGUACAAAAGUACUCAUACGGAACGUGUUGGAACAGCGUUCCGUAAUGGAGGAAAGUGGCCAGCUCGCAGCUUCUUACACCACGGCCGCGGGCGCGAUCUACUGCAUGAUGGGCAAUAGUGCCGCGUGUAUUGCUGCCCGUGGCAGUGUGGAUGAGGAAAAGUCGUGGAAAAGAAGUUGAAUUCUAGUCGUUGUUUUUGUUGAUGUUUUUUUGUUUGUUCGGUUUAUCCGGUAACUAUAAAUAGAGAGUAGCGUUACGGCACAUUAGAGCAGUAAAGGCAGUUCAGCUAUAGUGAACUACUUAUAUAUAUAUUUGAAUCUAUAAACCUAUAUAAAAAUAGGCAACUCGAAUGGCCGAGGCCAAUCGAGGCGUCAAAGAUGAUGAACGGGAUGCGUCAGUACGUUACUGGCGUUACUACCAAUGGUCACACGAGCGGAUCGUAAGGAUCAUCUACCAACAUGAACGAUUCCUGCCCGAUCUGCAAACCGAAUACUUAUCGGCGUAAAGGAGACUGAAAGACAAAGGCACUGGAGACAGAGUCGAGCCGAGUGGUUUAGAUGGAAUUCGUGGUACAAUUGGUUGGUUUGCAGCUGCCCAAGCUAAUGAGCCAUUAUCAAGCACCACAUCCAUACAAAUGGAGACACCCCGUUUUGCGUUUAUAAUUCGGUUUUCUUGCGGUUAUUUGCUUCAUCCAUUGCAUCGCUCUAGCGAAUAGUUAUGUUAAGCUUUCCAGCUCGUACGCGGCGUGUAGAGUUUGUUUUUUUCUUCUUCUUUUCUUCUGCGUCCCCUGAUUGCGUUCCAUAAAUUCCAUUUAGUAGCUUGCGCCAUUUUGUAUAUAAAUAAUUUAGUUUGAGUUUGAGGUUCAGUUUUAUUUGUACAUUUUGUGCUGCCCUUUUUCUUCUGCCAACUACCACAUAAUCCAACGGAAAGGUGCGCUAGUACGGGACUCCACGGAAUCCGACUGGCUGGCCACUGUACUGUGGCUUACGGAUUUAGUGUGACACAGUUUAUUAGUUAGUUCGUUUAACUGCUGAAGUACCUCGAACAUAAGCAAUUGUGAACGCUCCCUCGUUCUGUCGCAAGCCACAAGGAGCUGUGAAGGGUUCGACCUUAUCAUGGUGCACCCUCUGGUGCACCCAAUCGACGCUUCGACCGAUAUCGUGCAAAGACGUGAGCUUCCAGGGAACUAUUUAAUCACGGUGUGUACACACACAGCCACAUACACUCAUCUUAGUAGCCCAACAUUUAACUAGAUUGUUCAGGGUUUUGUAAUUACAGCGUAGGCAAAGGAAGUGAAGCCAGGCGGAAGAAAGAAUGCAUUAAAUCUCGAAAUACAUCCCGUAGUUGUGAUGAUAGUG